AUUGAACGCUGGCGGAAUGCUUUACACAUGCAAGUCGAACGGCAGCACGGACUUCGGUCUGGUGGCGAGUGGCGAACGGGUGAGUAAUGUAUCGGAACGUGCCCAGUCGUGGGGGAUAACGUAGUGAAAAUUACGCUAAUACCGCAUACGAUCUAUGGAUGAAAGCGGGGGAUCGCAAGACCUCGCGCGAUUGGAGCGGCCGAUAUCAGAUUAGGUAGUUGGUGGGGUAAAGGCCCACCAAGCCAACGAUCUGUAGCUGGUCUGAGAGGACGAGCAGCCACACUGGAACUGAAACACGGUCCAGACUCCUACGGGAGGCAGCAGUGGGGAAUUUUGGACAAUGGGCGAAAGCCUGAUCCAGCCAUUCCGCGUGCAGGAUGAAGGCCCUCGGGUUGUAAACUGCUUUUGUACAGAACGAAAAGGUUUCUACUAAUACUAGGAGCUCAUGACGGUACUGUAAGAAUAAGCACCGGCUAACUACGUGCCAGCAGCCGCCGUAA
rnacentral:rRNA from 1 species